rnacentral:rRNA from 1 species
UUAACACAUGCAAGUCGAACGAUGAAGACCGUGCUUGCACGGUUGGAUUAGUGGCGAACGGGUGAGUAUCACGUGAGUAACCUUCCCUUGACUCUGGGAUAAGCCCGGGAAACUGGGUCUAAUACCGGAUACGACCAGUCCUCGCAUGGGGUGCUGGUGGAAAGAUUUAUCGGUCUUGGAUGGACUCGCGGCCUAUCAGCUUGUUGGUGAGGUAAUGGCUCACCAAGGCGAUGACGGGUAGCCGGCCUGAGAGGGUGACCGGCCACACUGGGACUGAGACACGGCCCAGACUCCUACGGGAGGCAGCAGUGGGGAAUAUUGCACAAUGGGCGAAAGCCUGAUGCAGCGACGCCGCGUGCGGGAUGACGGCCUUCGGGUUGUAAACCGCUUUCAGCAGGGAAGAAGCGAAAGUGACGGUACCUGCAGAAGAAGCGCCGGCUAACUACGUGCCAGCAGCCGCGGUAAUACGUAGGGCGCGAGCGUUAUCCGGAAUUAUUGGGCGUAAAGAGCUCGUAGGCGGUUUGUCACGUCUGCUGUGAAAGCCCGAGGCUCAACCUCGGGUGUGCAGUGGGUACGGGCAGACUAGAGUGCAGUAGGGGA